rnacentral:lncRNA from 1 species
CUGACAUUGCGGCUACAGCAGCGAAUCUUACACUCCCAGGCAGUGCAGUGAAGCAGAUUAAAGCCACAACGGUGAAUCUUGCUUCCCCGACAUUGCAGUUAAAAAGAUUAAAGCCACAAUGGCGAAUCUUACUUUCCAAAAGUUACGAGUUACAAAUCCUAUCUCCCUGAUAUUACACUGGAGCAGAUCGAAGCAAUUCCUAUACCUCUGAAGAAGUAGUAAGGUGGAAUAAAGCUACUUGAAGAAAAGAG